UGGUGCCAGCAGCCGCGGUAAUUCCGGCUCCAAUAGCGUAUAUUAAAGUUGUUGCAGUUAAAAAGCUCGUAGUUGAAUUUCGGGAUUAGUACGUUGGUCGUGCCUUAGGUACGUACUGGUGUUACUGGUUCCUACCUUCUGACGAACCAUCAUGUCAUUAAUUUGGUGUGGCGGGGAAUUAGGACUGUUACUUUGAAAAAAUUAGAGUGUUUAAAGCAGGCUCGCGCUUGAAUACAUUAGCAUGGAAUAAUGAAAUAGGACGUUGACCCUAUUUUGUUGGUUUCUAGGAUUGACGUAAUGAUUAAUAGGGAUAGUUGGGGGCAUUAGUAUUCAAUUGUCAGAGGUGAAAUUCUUGGAUUUAUUGAAGACUAACUACUGCGAAAGCAUUUGCCAAGGAUGUUUUCAUUAAUCAAGAACGAAAGUUAGGGGAUCGAAGACGAUCAGAUACCGUCGUAGUCUUAACCAUAAACUAUGCCGACUAGGGA
rnacentral:rRNA from 1 species